UACGAAGGGGGCUAGCGUUGCUCGGAAUCACUGGGCGUAAAGGGUGCGUAGGCGGGUCUUUAAGUCAGGGGUGAAAUCCUGGAGCUCAACUCCAGAACUGCCUUUGAUACUGAGGAUCUUGAGUAUGGGAGAGGUGAGUGGAACUGCGAGUGUAGAGGUGAAAUUCGUAGAUAUUCGCAAGAACACCAGUGGCGAAGGCGGCUCACUGGACCGGUAUUGACGCUGAGGUGCGAAAGCGUGGGGAGCAAACAGG
rnacentral:rRNA from 1 species